UACGUAGGGGGCAAGCGUUGUCCGGAAUUAUUGGGCGUAAAGAGCGCGUAGGCGGUCCGAUAAGUCGGCUGUGAAAGUCUAGGGCUCAACCCUGGAAAGCCGGCCGAUACUGUCGGACUAGAGUCCGGAAGAGGCAAGUGGAAAUUCCCGGUGUAGCGGUGAAAUGCGCAGAUAUCGGGAGGAACACCAAUGGCGAAGGCAGCUGCUGGGACGGUACUGACGCUGAGGCGGCGAAAAGCGUGGGGAGCAAACAGG
rnacentral:rRNA from 1 species